GCUUAGGAUUAUUAAUGCUAUGGUCUUUGCUCUUUGAGGGUUACAUAUUUGGUCACUGAAGCCAAAUCAAGCAUUUGAGUCGCUCAGUUCGAUGGAGGACGAGCCAGAAACAGAAAACACUGUCGCAGAGGUACUUAUAGCAAAUACAGAGUGGGCCAAUAUUCGAAAAGAGCACAAGACUUGAGAAUUUGAGC